CUCACCUGGACAGGUAACACUGUUGGACCGAGUUCACUACGAUGGAAAUCCUGCUGCUCACGGCUCUCCUGGUGCUUUCUACUGGUGGAGUUCAGACCAGACCAGUCCACCUGAUCAUCUCUGUCCACCCCGGCCAGGAUGUCACUCUGACGGGUCCAGACUGCAGCGCCAACGCAUCAGUAACAGUGAUAAAAGCUGGUAAUGGCAGAUAUAUCUACUAUUACAUAGACGGACAUGUCAUAGUUCAAGACCACCAAGACCCAUCGUUUGUGGGCCGAGUGAAGAGGACGGAGGAUGAUAUCGUCUCUGUGACUCUGAUGAAUGUGACCAGAGAAGAUGCUGGAGAAUUGUAGAAACAGUGAUGGAACCAAGUUUGACUACAGAUACGACCUGAAGGUUACUGAUGGAGGUGCUGCAGGAGUCAUCGUUGGAGGAAUCGUUGCUGUUUUACUGAUCGUCAUGAUGAUAAUUCUUUGUUUGUGGGGCAGCAGGUUUAGAUGUAGAAUCCUCUGUAAACUCAAUGAUCAGCAGAACUCAGAGCUUACAGAGAAGUUCAACAACAGCAGGUCUGAAGUCUCACAGAUAUCUGUGUGUAAAUAUUAUGAGUUGAUCUGAACUAUUUCUGAGACCUUGUGGGGAUAUUUUGAGUGAUGUUGGAAUAAACGAGUUUAAUGUGACUUCCAGGGUUUGUCCAUGUAGAAUCUAUAAAGUGUUUACAGUAAAAUAUCAUUUCUACAGGAGCUGGUGUGAAAUGAUUUCAGCCUCACUGCUGUUUAAGUCACUGUGGACAGAUUUUGCUGACUUGAGUUAAUUACGUUAAUUUGAAAAAAUAUUGAGUCAUUUUGGACAAACUUUAGUAAUUUUUAACAACUUUUUUGUAAUAUUUCUGUCACUGAACUAUUUUUUAACCUCAUUUUAAAAUAAAUUUCCAGUCAUUGUGAA